rnacentral:rRNA from 1 species
GACGAACGCUGGCGGCGUGCCUAAUACAUGCAAGUCGAACGAGUGGCGGACGGGUGAGUAACACGUGGGAACCUACCCAUCUGAGGGGGAUAACUACUGGCAACUGUAGCUAAUACCGCAUACCAUCGGAUGUGCCCAGAUGGGUCUAGCUAGGAGGUGGGGUAACGGCUCACCUAGGCGACGAUCCCUAGCGGGUCUGAGAGGAUGACCAGCCACAAUGGAACGGAGACACGGUCCAGACUCCUACGGGAGGCAGCAGUGGGGAAGAUUGCACAAUGGGCGCAAGCCUGAUGCAGCCAUGCCGCGUGGAUGAAGAAGGCCUUCGGGUUGUAAAGUACUUUCAGCGAGGAGGCGUUACUCGCAGAAGAAGCACCGGCUAACUCCGUGCCAGCAGCCGCGGUAAUUC